UGGGGAAUCUUGCGCAAUGCGCGAAAGCGUGACGCAGCAACGCCGCGUGCGGGAAGACGGCCUUCGGGUUGUAAACCGCUUUCAGUUGGGACGAAGGUUCGCCGGUGAAUAGCCGGCUGGACUGACGGUACCUUCACAAGAAGCCCCGGCUAACUACGUGCCAGCAGCCGCGGUAAUACGUAGGGGGCAAGCGUUGUCCGGAAUCAUUGGGCGUAAAGCGCGUGUAGGCGGCUUGUUAAGUCUUCUCUGAAAGUCCAGGGCUCAACCCUGGAAUGCGGGAGGAUACUGGCAAGCUCGAGUCCGGAAGAGGCGAGUGGAAUUCCUGGUGUAGCGGUGAAAUGCGCAGAUAUCAGGAGGAACACCAAUGGCGAAGGCAGCUCGCUGGGACGGUACUGACGCUGAGACGCGAAAGCGUGGGGAGCAAACAGG
rnacentral:rRNA from 1 species